GGGGUCUCCCGUUACCAAGAUAGAGCCUGAAGUGAGCCCGCAGGACCAAUUUAAAGCACCUUAGUGGAAUCCUGGGGUGUUUGCCCACAUUGCAUGUGCCAUGUCCAUGCCUGGUGCCUACAGAAGCCAGAAGGGGGCAUUGGAUCUCCUGGAACUGGAGUUACAGUUGUGAGCCACCAUGUGUGUGCUGGGAAUCAAACCUGGGUUCCCUGGAAGAGCAGCCAGUACUCUUAGAUGUUGAACCAUCUCUCCAAGCCCUUUUUAUCUUUUUAAGCUAUAGCGUGUGUGUGUGUGUGUGUGUGUGUGUAAUGUGCAUAUAGGAGUGCCUGAAUACAUACCACAGUGGGGGUGGGGGGUGAGAGGACAGCUUGGUAGAGUCAGUUCUCUCCUUUUAGUUUUAUUCCUGGAUUCCAGGAAUAGAACUCAGGCCCUUAUGCUUACAUAGCAAGCUCUUUUAUCUCAUCUAUCUUGCUGGCCCUGGAUUACUACUUCUUUAUUUUUUAAAUUUAUUUAUUUUAUUUGUAUGACUAGCUAUCUUCAGACACACCAUAGAAGAGGGCAUCAGGUCUCAUUACAGAUGCUUGUGAGCCACCAUGUGGUUGCUGGGAAUUGAACUCAGGACCUCUGAAAGAGCAGUCGGUGCUCUUAACCUCUGAGCCAUCUCUCCAGUCUGGAUUACUUCUCUUACUAGCAGUUUGGCAGGAGAGUUUUCAGUGUGCAGUUGCUAUAGUUUAACAGGCACAACAAUGCUGCCACUUCCCCAUCUGGAGGCCUCAAGUACUGGUGUUCUUAAGCCUUUCCCUCUGGUCUUCCUGUUUAUAGGUUGUAGUGACA
rnacentral:lncRNA from 1 species